rnacentral:rRNA from 1 species
CUGACGUGAGUAACGACAAAACGGGUGAAAAACCCGUUCGCCGAAAGACCAAGGGUUCCAGUCCAACGUUAAUCGGGGCUGGGUGAGUCGACCCCUAAGGCGAGGCCGAAAGGCGUAGUCGAUGGGAAAAUGGUUAAUAUUCCAUUACUUCUGUGUAAUGCGAUGAGAGGACGGAGAAGGCUAAAUCAGCCUGGCGUUGGUUGUCCAGGUGAAAGGAUGUAGGCAUGUAUCUUAGGCAAAUCCGGGGUACUCUAUGCUGAGAUCUGAUAGCAAGCUGUACUUGUACAGCGAAGUGGUUGAUGCCAUGCUUCCAGGAAAAGUCUCUAAGCUUCAGUUACACAGGAAUCGUACCCGAAACCGACACAGGUGGUCAGGUCGAGUAGACCAAGGCGCUUGAGAGAACUCUGCUGAAGGAACUAGGCAAAAUGGUACCGUAACUUCGGGAGAAGGUACGCUGUUGUUGGUGAUGGAACUCGCUUCCUGAGCUGACGACAGCCGCAGAAACCAGGCCGCUGCAACUGUUUAUUAAAAACAUAGCACUCUGCAAACACGAAAGUGGACGUAUAGGGUGUGAUGCCUGCCCGGUGCUGGAAGGUUAAUUGAUGGGGUUAGCGUAAGCGAAGCUCUUGAUCGAAGCCCCAGUAAACGGCGGCCGUAACUAUAACGGUCCUAAGGUAGCGAAAUUCCUUGUCGGGUAAGUUCCGACCUGCACGAAUGGCAUAAUGAUGGCGGCGCUGUCUCCAGCAGAGGCUCAGUGAAAUCGAAAUCGCUGUGAAGAUGCAGUGUACCCGCGGCUAGACGGAAAGACCCCGUGAACCUUUACUGCAGCUUGACACUGAACUUUGACCUUACUUGUGUAGGAUAGGUGGGAGGCUUUGAAGCUGGAACGCUAGUUCCAGUGGAGCCGUCCUUGAAAUACCACCCUGGUAAUGUUGAGGUUCUAACUCUGUCCCGUGAUCCGGGACGAGGACCGUGUCUGGUGGGUAGUUUGACUGGGGCGGUCUCCUCCUAAAGAGUAACGGAGGAGUACGAAGGUGCGCUCAGCGUGGUCGGAAAUCACGCGUAGAGUAUAAAGGCAAAAGCGCGCUUAACUGCGAGACCCACAAGUCGAGCAGGUACGAAAGUAGGUCUUAGUGAUCCGGUGGUUCUGUAUGGAAGGGCCAUCGCUCAACGGAUAAAAGGUACUCUGGGGAUAACAGGCUGAUACCGCCCAAGAGUUCAUAUCGACGGCGGUGUUUGGCACCUCGAUGUCGGCUCAUCUCAUCCUGGGGCUGAAGCAGGUCCCAAGGGUAUGGCUGUUCGCCAUUUAAAGAGGUACGCGAGCUGGGUUUAGAACGUCGUGAGACAGUUCGGUCCCUAUCUACCGUGGGCGCUGGAAAUUUGAGAGGAUCUGCUCCUAGUACGAGAGGACCAGAGUGGACGAACCUCUGGUGUACCGGUUGUGACGCCAGUCGCAUCGCCGGGUAGCUAUGUUCGGAAGGGAUAACCGCUGAAAGCAUCUAAGCGGGAAGCCUACCUCAAGAUAAGAUUUCCCUAGGACUUUAUGUCCUCUAAAGAGCCGUUCGAGACUAGGACGUUGAUAGGUUGGAUGUGGAAGCAUAGUGAUAUGUGAAGCUGACCAAUACUAAUUGCUCGUGAGGCUUGACUAU